GUAGGUGGCNGAGUAUGUCUGUAGUGAAAGCGUGUGGCUCAACCAUAUACACAUUACAGAAACUGCUCAGCUAGAGGGCGAGAGAGGUUACUAGAAUUCCUAGUGUAGGAGUGAAAUCCGUAGAUAUUAGGAGGAAUACCGAUGGCGUAGGCAGGUAACUGGCUCGUCCCUGACACUAAGGCACGAAAGCGUGGGGAGCAAACGGGAUUAGAUACCCCGGUAGUCCACGCUGUAAACGAUGGAUGCUAGCUGUAAGAGGUAUCGACCCCUCUUGUAGCGAAGCUAACGCGUUAAGCAUCCCGCCUGUGGAGUACGGUCGCAAGACUAAAACAUAAAGGAAUUGACGGGGACCCGCACAAGCGGUGGAGCGUGUUGUUUAAUUCGAUGGUAAACGAAGAACCUUACCCAGGUUUGACAUCCUUGGAAUUUUGCCGAAAGGCGAGAGUGCUUUAUUGAGCCAAGUGACAGGUGUUGCAUGGCCGUCGUCAGCUCGUGUCGUGAGAUGUUUGGUUAAGUCCAUCAACGAGCGCAACCCUAUAGUCUGUUGUAUUUUUCAGGCUAGACUGCCCCGGUAACGGGGAGGAAGGAGGGGAUGAUGUCGGGUCAGUAUUACCCCUACAUCUGGGGCUACAAACACGCUACAAUGGCCGGUACAAAGGGCAGCCAAGUCGCGAGACGGAGCAAAUCCCAUCAAAGCCGGUCCCAGUUCAGAUUGCAGGCUGAAACUCGCCUGCAUGAAGUCGGAAUCGCUAGUAACGGUAGGUCAGCUAUACUACCGUGAAUACGUUCCCGGGUCUUGUACACACCGCCCGUCAAACCAAGAAAGUCACCAAUACCUGACGUGUUGCCUUCGCGCAGCCCUAAGGUAGGGGGGAUGAUUGGGGUU
rnacentral:rRNA from 1 species